rnacentral:rRNA from 1 species
AUUGAACGCUGGCGGCAGGCCUAACACAUGCAAGUCGAACGAGUGGCGGACGGGUGAGUAAUGUCUGGGAAACUGCCUGAUGGGGGGGGAUAACUACUGGAAACGGUAGCUAAUACCGCAUACCAUCAGAUUUGCCCAGAUGGGAUUAGCAUGUUGGUGGGGUAACGGCUCACCAGGGCGACGAUCCCUAGCUGGUCUGCGAGGAUGACCAGCCACAUUGGAACUAGUACACGUUCCAAACUCCUACGGUGGGCAGCGGUGGGGAAUAUUGCACAAUGAGCGCAAGCCUGAUGCAGCCAUGCCGCGUGUAUGAAGAAGGCCUUCGGGUUGUAAAGUACUUUCAGCGGGGAGGCGUUACCCGCAGAAGAAGCACCGGCUAACUCCGUGCCAGCCGCCGCGGUAAUUC